rnacentral:rRNA from 1 species
GCCCUGGCGGGUGCUUACCAUGCAGUCGAACGAGGUCUUCGGACCUAGUGGCGAACGGGUGAGUAACACGUGAGGAACGUGCCCCAGAGACCGGGAUAAGCCGAGGAAACUUGGUCUAAUACCGGAUGUCCCCAUCGGAUCGCAUGGUUUGAUGAGGAAAUGGAUUCCGCUCUGGGAGCGCCUCGCGGCCUAUCAGCUAGUUGGUGGGGUAACGGCCCACCAAGGCAUCGACGGGUAGCUGGUCUGAGAGGAUGAUCAGCCACACUGGGACUGAGACACGGCCCAGACUCCUACGGGAGGCAGCAGUGGGGAAUCUUGCGCAAUGGGCGAAAGCCUGACGCAGCAACGCCGCGUGCGGGAUGACGGCCCUCGGGUUGUAAACCGCUUUCAGCAGGAACGAUGAUGACGGUACCUGCAGAAGAAGCUCCGGCCAACUACGUGCCAGCAGCCGCGGUAAUACGUAGGGAGCAAGCGUUGUCCGGAUUUAUUGGGCGUAAAGAGCUCGUAGGCGGUUCGGUAAGUCGGGUGUGAAAACUCUGGGCUCAACCCGGAGAGGCCACUCGAUACUGCUGUGACUUGAGUCUGGUAGGGGAGCACGGAAUUCCUGGUGUAGCGGUGAAAUGCACAGAUAUCAGGAGGAACACCGGUGGCGAAGGCGGUGCUCUGGGCCAGUACUGACGCUGAGGAGCGAAAGCGUGGGGAGCGAACAGGAUUAGAUACCCUGGUAGUCCACGCCGUAAACGUUGGGCACUAGGUGUGGGGGGGACGUCAACUCCCUCCGUGCCGUAGCUAACGCAUUAAGUGCCCCGCCUGGGGAGUACGGCCGCAAGGCUAAAACUCAAAGGAAUUGACGG